UACGUAGGUGGCAAGCGUUGUCCGGAUUUACUGGGCGUAAAGGGCGUGCAGGCGGUCUGUUAAGUGCAGGGUGAAAGCUCCCGGCUCAACUGGGAGAGGUCCUUGCAUACUGGCGGACUAGAGUUCGGAAGAGGCGAGUGGAAUUCCCGGUGUAGCGGUGAAAUGCGCAGAUAUCGGGAGGAACACCUAUGGCGAAGGCAGCUCGCUGGGACGUUACUGACGCUGAGACGCGAAAGCGUGGGGAGCAAACAGG
rnacentral:rRNA from 1 species